rnacentral:rRNA from 1 species
GAUGAACGCUGGCGGCGUGCCUAAUACAUGCAAGUCGAGCGAACAGACGAGGAGCUUGCUCCUCUGACGUUAGCGGCGGACGGGUGAGUAACACGUGGAUAACCUACCUAUAAGACUGGGAUAACUUCGGGAAACCGGAGCUAAUACCGGAUAAUAUAUUGAACCGCAUGGUUCAAUAGUGAAAGACGGUUUUGCUGUCACUUAUAGAUGGAUCCGCGCCGCAUUAGCUAGUUGGUAAGGUAACGGCUUACCAAGGCAACGAUGCGUAGCCGACCUGAGAGGGUGAUCGGCCACACUGGACCUGAGACACGGUCCAGACUCCUACGGGAGGCAGCAGUAGGGAAUCUUCCGCAAUGGGCGAAAGCGUGACGGAGCAACGCCGCGUGAGUGAUGAAGGUCUUCGGAUCGUAAAACUCUGUUAUUAGGGAAGAACAAAUGUGUAAGUAACUAUGCACGUCUUGACGGUACCUAAUCAGAAAGCCACGGCUAACUACGUG